CUACGGGAGGCAGCAGUAGGGAAUAUUGGACAAUGGGCGAAAGCCUGAUCCAGCCAUGCCGCGUGAAUGAUGAAGGCCUUCGGGUCGUAAAAUUCUUUUCUGAGGGAGGAACAAGCCGGGGAGGAAAUGCUCUGGCCCUGACGGUACCUCAGGAAUAAGCAACGGCUAACUCCGUGCCAGCAGCCGCGGUAAUACGGAGGUUGCGAGCGUUGUUCGGAAUAACUGGGCGUAAAGGGAGCGCAGGCGGCUCAAUAGGUCUAAAGUGAAAUUCCAGGGCUCAACCUUGGACGUGCUUUGGAUACUGCUGAGCUUGAGUACGUGAGAGGAGAGUGGAAUUCCAGGUGUAGCGGUGAAAUGCGUAGAUAUCUGGAGGAACACCGGUGGCGAAAGCGGCUCUCUGGCACGUUACUGACGCUGAGGCUCGAAAGCGUGGGGAGCGAACGGGAUUAGAAACCCCUGUAGUCC
rnacentral:rRNA from 1 species